ensembl:lincRNA Gm12914 predicted gene 12914
AAGAAAUAAAAGUUUGUUUUCUUCUAAAGGAAUUCAAUAUGCUUGAAGCUAUUGGCUAAACAAUGCAUACUCCUAAAAUGGAAUGUCUCUUUCAUCAGAUCAAUAAGGCAGAAAAAACUCUAUUAUAAUGUGUAUUUCUGGAUUUGGGGGAUGGCAUGCCCUUCAGAAACCUUUGAUGCUAUUAUACUUUAGACUUUCGAUUCCCUAGACUAGAGCUCUCAGCGUACUGUUCCGGCUGUCAUCCUGCUGCUUACUUUGUUGAGUGCCUACCAUGGUGGACUCUCAUGCUUCAGGAACCAUAAAGC